rnacentral:rRNA from 1 species
AACGAACGCUGGAGGCAGGCUUAACACAUGCAAGUCGAACGCCCCGCAAGGGGAGUGGCAGACGGGUGAGUAACGCGUGGGAACGUGCCCAUCGCUUCGGAAUAGCCCCGGGAAACUGGGAGUAAUACCGAAUACGCCGUCUUGGGAAAGAUUGAUCGGCGAAGGAUCGGCCCGCGUUAGAUUAGCUAGUUGGCGGUGUAAUGGCCUACCAAGGCUACGAUAUAUAUCUGGUCUGAGAGGAUGAGCAGCCACACUGGGACUGAGACACGGCCCAGACUCCUACGGGAGGCAGCAGUGGGGAAUCGUGGACAAUGGGCGCAAGCCUGAUCCAGCCAUGCCGCGUGAGUGAAGAAGGCCUUAGGGUUGUAAAACUCUUUCGCCGGAGAAGAUAAUGACGGUAUCCGGAGAAGAAGCCCCGGCUAACUUCGUGCCAGCCGCCGCAGUAAGAC